UAUUAAAGUGUUUUUGAAACUAUUUUUUUUUUCAUUUCUAUCACAAUUGUGUGAGUCAAAUUUGAGUCAGGUAUACGCAUUCUUUAUCAGUGUGAAAUACGAAACAGCAUAGUAUAGGCCUACAGCUAACUACAAAGUACAAAAGAAGAAGCAUGUUAUACUAAAUUUGACUGUAGUCUGUAGUAAUUUCAAGUGACAAAUAUACUGAAGAAGUUAAGAGCAUGGUAGUACUUACUUUCUUUUUGCAGAAUAUUGGAAAUCUCAUCCCACUCCCUAUCUUUUCUUGUUCCAUCUUGUUAGAGCCAAUGAGGUGGGCUUCUAAACACAUGACUUAGUAGCUCAGAAAAUAAAAUUGUUACCUUUAAAAGUGUCUCAUUCGGGUAUGGUGGGUUCACAGUGGACUGUAAGAGUGGUCUCCUUGUUCUGGUAGGUGGUGGCACAUUCAGAUAAUCAGGACUCACUUGCACUGGCAAUGAUGAAUACAUUGGCCCAUGUCGCAGCAAAGAGGUUACACAAAGAAGAUCCAAAUCUAGAUAUUUAGCAGAGUACUCUCACAAUAACUUUUCCUAACUAGUCGCGGUAGUAGUUUAAAUUCAAACAAGCGAAGGGGUAAUACAUUUAUAACUUCUUAAAAAAGAGAAACAACCGUGUAGCGUCAGGACAGCAAGCUUCCUCAAGAAGUGGUUACAAGCGGAGGUGAUGGGUAGCAAAAAAGCGGGGGAAGCCAGGGGGAGAACAGUGCCAUCUACAUAUUGAACUAGGCGAUCUCAGAGCGGCUGAUGGCAGUGGCAUGCUAGAUGGCCGUGGGUUUGUGACAAUGUGUCCUUGGGAUCUAUCUCAAUUUGGGUUGAAACUUCACAUUGCCUUGUUGUGGUCUAUUUACAAAAUAUUAACUAGGGUGUUUGCUAUUGAUGGUGCUGAUUUGCUGACAAUUUUCAGACAUGAUGUGGACGUUUAGAUACUGAUUCUUGGAGUUGCUGCUGGUGUUGCAUCGGGCGGUGGAGAGGCUGGCACAUUGCAGAUCUCAGCCUGAGUGGAGGAAUGCCGUCCCAAGUUGAAGCCUAUGGAUGACCUGCUGCUGGGUUCACGACUCCUUGGGGUCUCCACCUUGCCAUCCCCUGAAGUAGGAGUGCCUGAUGGGAUGGCGUUGUCUGUUGCAGCAUCCAUCUGUGCAUUGAUUCUCAAGGGUAGUGUGACCAGGUAUGAGACAUCCGAACUUGGGUUGGAGUCUCCAAUGGUGAAGCAGUAAAGUUGUGAAUGGAAUAGUUAAAAUUAAAGCAUGUAGGUAGCAUGUAGCAUGUAUAAUAUAGGCAGCCAAGUAUAUCUGUACUGAGUGGUUCCGAAACGGUAUAAAAAUAAUCCAAGUGGUGCAAUAAGCAAACAACAAAUAUGCAACAUAGUGAUCAGUGCUAUGAGGUGACUAGAUAACGAUUUAGUGCAUUCUGACCUUCAAUUGUUUGAAGUAAAAUACAUAAACAUAAUUAGAAACAUUUACAAUAAAAGAUAACAUAUAAGGUAAAAUAUAAUUUAUGAUAAUACACUAUGAGGUGGGAUACGAAACCCUGUAGUCUCUUGUUUCAUUUGAUUUGGUCCACAUACAAAAUAGAUCUGUUCAAUUUCAAGUCCGUUCUUUCUUUCCCUUAGAAAUUCAUCACUAGCUGAUGAAUCUCUCACCCACAUCGAUCAAUGCAGGGCACACCUCAUCAAUUAUUGAGACUCUGUGUCACUCUAGCUUGACUAGGAUUGCCAUGAUGAAGAUUUCAGACUAAGUUUUACAAGUUACGUUUUAUCCAAAGUUUCAAAAAAUCUCAUGGCACUAGUAAAAUAAUUAUAUAAACUAAUAGUGUGACUGUACAUGCCUACGGGUCUCAUCAGAGGCCCCACAUUGGGCGCCAUGUGUCACAUACUGCUCUGUGGAGGAGCAUGAACAUGCACUAAAUGAAUAAUGGUAAACUAGAGUAAUUGAACUGAAAAACCAAAUAAACAGUUGGAAAAUUUGAUCAAAAUAAUCUGAUUUGUUGACAUGACAUGGUAUAUCAUCCUAAAUUAGAGUAUAUAAUAAUUUUCAAAGUUAAUCAUUAUUUUACAGUUUCAAGUGAUUAGUUAGUGUUUUUUGUUAUUCAAUUUGGUCUGUAAACAAUCUAAAUCAGAACUUUUCUGUUUUCAAAUGUUUGGAUUAAAAUUGGAUCUGAAUUCAAGUGUAUGGAACAUAACCUACUUUUUGGACUAUUUAUAGUGUAUAAAUCAAAAUUCGGGGAAGAAACAGUUUUGGGCUGUGCCUGUUAGUCCUUCCCCAAUCAUUUUGAAUAAUUGUGUUCUGUUUAUCAAUAAUAGACAACAAGCGAAGCUUGGUGCCCCUAUAUUUUAGAUGGAAAUUAAAUUGUGCCAUAUGUUAGUUUACAUCCAAAUUUUCAUCCCUAAGCUUUUGGUUUCAAGCUAAGAUCAAAGAAAGAAAUUAUAUAAUGGAAGUCAAUAAUCAAAGUGAUUGAAUAAACUCCAUUCAGAUUUAUGCAAAUUCAUCCCACUUUAAUAUUUAUGAUAGUAAAGUUUAGGACAUGAGGAAUCAGCCACAAUAAAUGUUAUACCAACUAUUAUGAAUAGACUCUUUCAUAUGAAUGGACUUCCAUGAAAGAAUCAGUGGAUUGGCUGCUUUCACACUUUUGAAUUAGUGAAACAAAAAUUAAGUGUCAUGCUAUGCCAAAAAUCUAGAAUAAGCAAGAGAACCAUGGAUACAAGAGUCAUACAAUUCCAAAUCAACUUAAUUUGGAAUUUAAUCUUCAAUAGCAUCAAGCAAAAGCAAAAAUAACAUGAUCACUGCUAAUUUGAUAACUGUCAAUGGGAAAUAUCAAUUGCCAAUGAAUAAAUUUGAGGUCGACUCUUAAGCCCUGCCCAAUAUUCUACAAAAUUCUCUGCAAUUGGACUACUAUUCUACAGAGCAGUUCCAACACAUCAAUGUUUAUUCAAAUGAUUUGACUCAAUAAUUCUCAUGUCAAGUUGUGGCCUAACCUCAAAAAUGAUUAUAACAAUUUUGGUAGAAUUUAGAUUAUAAAUGUUUCACAAAAAUAAUCUUUACUUUUGAUUCCCAUAGUGAAGCACGGGUGCCCUGCCCUGCUAGUUAUUAUGUAAUAUUAACAUUUCAUACAAAAGAUUCUUAUUACAAUCAUAAAUAACAAAAAUGAAUAUUACUAUUCUUAACAGUGAAAAUGCUUGUAUCAUGAUCUUGCUCGCUUUUAUAAUAUUUAACAUGUUGUACAUUUCCAUUAAUAAAUAAAUUCAACAUUAAUAACUGAA